GCAAGUCGAACGCGAAAGUUCCCUUCGGGGAGCGAGUAGAGUGGCGCACGGGUGAGUAACACGUAGGUAAUCUACCUUUGGAUGGGGAAUAACAACCGGAAACGGUUGCUAAUACCGCAUAAUGCAGCGGCACCUAAUGGUGACAGUUGUUAAAGCGGGGGAUCGAAAGACCUCGCGUCUGAAGAGGAGCCUGCGGCGGAUUAGCUAGUUGGUAAGGUAACGGCUUACCAAGGCGAUGAUCCGUAACCGGCCUGAGAGGGCGGUCGGUCACACUGACACUGACAUACGGGUCAGACUCCUACGGGAGGCAGCAGUCGGGAAUUUUGGGCAAUGGGCGAAAGCCUGACCCAGCAACGCCGCGUGAAGGAUGAAAUCCCUCGGGAUGUAAACUUCGCAAGAACGGGAAGAAUAAGUUGGUGUGAAUAUCACCAGCGAUGACGGUACCGUUUGUAAGCUCCGGCUAACUCCGUGCCAGCAGCCGCGGUAAUACGGGGGGAGCAAGCGUUGUUCGGAUUUACUGGGCGUAAAGGGCGCGUAGGCGGCCACUGCAAGUCGGUUGUGAAAUCUCCGGGCUUAACCCGGAAAGGUCAAUCGAUACUGCAGGGCUAGAGUGCAGAAGGGGCAACUGGAAUUCUCGGUGUAGCGGUGAAAUGCGUAGAUAUCGAGAGGAACACCUGCGGCGAAGGCGGGUUGCUGGGCUGACACUGACGCUGAAGCGCGAAAGCUAGGGGAGCGAACGGGAUUAGAUACCCCGGUAGUCCUAGCCUUAAACGAUGAAUGCUUGGUGUC
rnacentral:rRNA from 1 species